rnacentral:rRNA from 1 species
AAUAGAUACCCCGGUAGUCCACGCCGUAAACGAUGAGUGCUAAGUGUUAGAGGGUUUCCGCCCUUUAGUGCUGCAGCUAACGCAUUAAGCACUCCGCCUGGGGAGUACGGUCGCAAGACUGAAACUCAAAGGAAUUGACGGGGGCCCGCACAAGCGGUGGAGCAUGUGGUUUAAUUCGAAGCAACGCGAAGAACCUUACCAGGUCUUGACAUCCUCUGACAACUCUAGAGAUAGAGCGUUCCCCUUCGGGGGACAGAGUGACAGGUGGUGCAUGGUUGUCGUCAGCUCGUGUCGUGAGAUGUUGGGUUAAGUCCUGCAACGAGCGCAACCCUUGAUCUUAGUUGCCAGCAUUCAGUUGGGCACUCUAAGGUGACUGCCGGUGACAAACCGGAGGAAGGUGGGGAUGACGUCAAAUCAUCAUGCCCCUUAUGACCUGGGCUACACACGUGCUACAAUGGAUGGUACAAAGGGCUGCAAGACCGCGAGGUCAAGCCAAUCCCAUAAAACCAUUCUCAGUUCGGAUUGGU